GCCUAGCCCUGAUAGUAGUGAAAAUCCUUUUUGUUUUUUCUUUAAAAACAAAAAGAUUGUAACGGAUAGCAGGAAUAAGC
rfam:Flavobacterium sp. LPB0076 LPBF38, whole genome shotgun sequence.